UCCCUUGUGGCUCAGACAGUAAAGCAUCUGCCUACAAUGCAGGAGACCCGGGUUUGAUCCCUGGGUCGGGAA
rnacentral:tRNA from 1 species